UGAAAGCAUCUAUGCACGAAACUUGCCCCGAGAUGAGUUCUCCCUGACUCCUUGAGAGUCCUGAAGGAACGUUGAAGACGACGACGUUGAUAGGCCGGGUGUGUAAGCGCAGCGAUGCGUUGAGCUAACCGGUACUAAUGAACCGUGAGGCUUAACCUUACAACGCCGAAG
rnacentral:rRNA from 1 species